UCUACGGGAGGCAGCAGUGAGGAAUAUUGGUCAAUGGCCGGAAGGCUGAACCAGCCAUGCCGCGUGAAGGUCAGUGCCCUAUGGGCGUUAAACUUCUUUUGUGCGGGAGCAAUAAUGGUCACGUGUGGCCAGACGAGAGUACCGUACGAAUAAGCAUCGGCUAACUCCGUGCCAGCAGCCGCGGUAAUACGGGGGAUGCAAGCGUUAUCCGGAUUUAGUGGGUUUAAAGGGUGCGUAGGCUGUGAGGUAAGUCAGCGGUGAAAUGCCCCCGCUCAACGGGGUGAAGUGCCAUUGAUACUGCCUUGCUGGAAUGCGGAUGCGGUGGGAGGAAUGUGUGGUGUAGCGGUGAAAUGCAGAGAUAUCACACAGAACACCGAUUGCGAAGGCAUCUCACGAAUCCGCGAUUGACGCUGAUGCACGAAAGCGUGGGUAUCAAACAGGAUUAGAUACCCUUGUAGUC
rnacentral:rRNA from 1 species